ACACGACGACUACCUUAGGGGUAACAGCGUAAUUUAUUUUUAGAGUUCUAAUCGAAAAAUAAGUUUGCGACCUCGAUGUUGGAUUAAAAUUAAUAUUUGGUGCAGAAGCUAAAUUAUUGGGUCUGUUCGACCUUUAAAAUUUUACAUGAUCUGAGUUUAGACCGGCGUGAGCCAGGUUGGUUUCUAUCUCUUUUAAAAGAAAAAUUUUU
rnacentral:rRNA from 1 species